GAUCUUGUAGUCAAAUUGUAUGAUAUUAAAUUGCAAGUUUAAGGGUGAGUUGUUCCAAGAUUU
rnacentral:tRNA from 1 species